rnacentral:rRNA from 1 species
CUUACGGAAUCGACCUCCAACCCAUUGUACUCCAACCUCUUGUUGCCUCGGGGUUUUCCCUUAAUUAUCUCGAGUGCCUCGCCCUUGCGGCGGGCGCCGAGAUCCCCCAGAGGACCAUUCAAACUCAGUUUAUACCUACAGUCAGACUUAUUGAUUCUAAAUCAUAACAAAACUUUCAACAACGGAUCUCUUGGUUCUGGCAUCGAUGAAGAACGCAGCGAAAUGCGAUAAGUAAUGUGAAUUGCAGAAUUCAGUGAAUCAUCGAAUCUUUGAACGCACAUUGCGCCCUCUGGUAUUCCGGGGGGCAUGCCCGUUCGAGCGUCAUUACACCUCUCAAGCCUCGCUUGGUAUUGGGGGCAGCGUCUGUCUGGCAGUCGCUCCUCUUGAAAUUCUCGGCCGAUUCUAGCUGAUCUCCGGCGUUGUGCAAACAAAUUCGCCUGUCAGAAACGCAAGGAUUCCGGUGCCGUUAAGCCCUUUUUUCUCAGGUUGACCUCGGAUCGGGUAGGGAUACCCGCUGAACUUAAGCAUAUCAAUA